UACGUGGGGUCCGAGCGUUGUCCGGAAUUACUGGGCGUAAAGAGCUCGUAGGUGGUUUGUCGCGUUGUUCGUGAAAACUCACAGCUUAACUGUGGGCGUGCGGGCGAUACGGGCAGACUGGAGUACUGCAGGGGAGACUGGAAUUCCUGGUGUAGCGGUGGAAUGCGCAGAUAUCAGGAGGAACACCGGUGGCGAAGGCGGGUCUCUGGGCAGUAACUGACGCUGAGGAGCGAAAGCGUGGGGAGCGAACAGG
rnacentral:rRNA from 1 species